rnacentral:rRNA from 1 species
GUUGUUCGGAAUUACUGGGCGUAAAGGGCUCGUAGGUGGCCAACUAAGUCAGACGUGAAAUCCCCAGGCUCAACUUGGGAACUGCGUCUGAUACUGGAUGGCUUGAAUUCGGGAGAGGGAUGCAGAAUUCCAGGUGUAGCGGUGAAAUGCGUAGAUAUCUGGAGGAAUACCGGUGGCGAAGGCGGCAUCCUGGACCGAGAUUGACACUGAUGAGCGAAAGCUAGGGGAGCAAACGGG